UACGUAGGUGACAAGCGUUAUCCGGAAUUACUGGGCGUAAAGCGCACGCAGGCGGUGAGGUAAGUCUGAUGUGAAAUCUCCUGGCUUAACUGGGAGGGGUCAUUGGAAACUGCCGUACUUGAGGCGAUGAGAGGGGUGUAGAAUUCCCGGUGUAGUGGUGGAAUGCGUAGAUAUCGGGAGGAAUACCAGUGGCGAAAGCGACACCCUGGCAUUAGCCUGACGCUCAUGUGCGAAGGCGUGGGGAGCGAACGGG
rnacentral:rRNA from 1 species